UAUAAACUACCUUCGUUCUCAUUCAGUUCAAUCACUCACUCUUCUGUUCUGAUCUAGGGUUUUACAGCUUUCACUUACUCCAUAAGAGUAAGCUCUGCCCCUUCGAGUUUACAGUUUUCAGUUUCUAUUAGAUUUGUUUGUUUUCAUCUAAUUUCCUUUGGCCUAUGAUUAAAAUUCUUAAAUAUAGACAAGCAUAUGUCUGAAUUUUCAUCAUGUUGAAUACCUAAUCUUCUCUAUGAGGCCAAUUACAUCUAUUUUUUUUUUUUAUGUUUUUCUAUCCAGAUUUCUACUUUUUGUGCUCAAUAAUUCAAACAAAAAACUGGGUCAUAUGAUGAUUAGAAGCAUAGUUCAAAUGAAAUCUAUGUGAUUACAAAACUUCUUUUUUAGUCUUUCGCUCCUAUCUGAUGACUCUUUUUAUUACUAUUAAAAAUCUGAUUUUUAAGCAAUUAAUUGUUGUAUUUUUUUUGAAAAAUUGAAAUGGUUAAUGGACAAUGACGAUUUAUCUAUUGGUCUCGUUCGUCGUAAUGGUGUUUAAACCACCUUGCCGACCAUUCUGAUAUAUCACCACCCAUAAACUGAGUCCUAUUACUAUACCUUUUUUUUUGUUUAUUUUUCAAUUUAGUUCUUCGUUUCUGGUGCUGUGAUGAAAAAAAUCUUGUGUCGGAGGCUUUUUGUCGCUGAUGGUUUACACAACCCUCUAAGAAGUUCUGAGCACUUUUUUUGUUUUCAAUUUCAGUAUUUUUUCUGAUUAUUUAGUAGUAGUAAUUGAAUGAUAAGUAAUUUAUUUUGAGGAUGAAUGAAGUGAUGAUAGAAUUCAUAUGUUAAUUCACUGAAUUACAUUUUUAUGAUGUUAAGAGUGAAUCCCGACAGGUUCUGAUCGUUUAUUAGUUAAUUAAUCCUCCAUUAAUUGUGAUUUUGCUUUGUUAAUUUUAUGUCUUGUGGGCAAAUGAUGAAAUUUUUAUAUCGUAAAUGGGUAAUUUGCGUCUGAAUCUUUCUUUGAUGUUAUAACCUUGGAGAACUGAUGCCCUUUAAACUUUUUACUUUGCAUUUUGUUUUCAUAAUGCCAAUUAGCAGAGCAAAGGUGUCUUUCACAAAUGACACACAUUUGCAUUGAAGGUUGGCUAUAUAUAUAUAGCGAUUCUCCGUGCCUUUCAAGCUUUUUUCUCGUAUUGAUUACGGCCUCGAACAAAUUGCUACAUUUUCUCCCUUCACUGUUGUGCUUAUUUGGUACCUUAGUUGCUUUGUUUUUAACGUAGACAAUUUGCAGAGCAAGGGUGUCUUUCAAAAUGACAUACAUUUGCAUUGAAGGUUGGCCAUAUGUAUAGCGAUUCUCCGUGCCUUUCAAGCUUUCUUCUCGUAUUGAUUACGGCCUCGAACAAAUUGCUACAUCCACCAAUUAUUAUGGUACAUUUAUCUAUAAAUUUGGUUAUAUAAAUGACUUGAUCUUGACAAUGAGUUUGUAUUAUCUAAUUUUAGUUUAAGUUUCUUAAUUAUGCAUAAACUAUUAAAUUUGUGAUCUUAGUAGUUACUCUCUGUAGUAAAUUUGUUUAUUAUCAUUGGCCGAUGAUUAAAUUUCUAAUAUAGACAAGCAUAUGACUGAAUUUUCAUUAUGUUGAAUACCUAAUCUUCUCUAUGAGGCCAAUCAUAUUUUUUCCAUAUUGUUAUGCUUCCUGUGUUCAAUAGUUUUAUAAAAAUAGUUUUUUUUUGUGUUGUCAUUGUUUAUAAACGGGUCAUAUGAUGAUUAAAAGCAUAGUUCAAAUGAAUUCUUUGUGAUUAUAAAACAAUCUUUAUAGUCUUUCGCUCCUAUCUGAUGACUCCUUUUUUAUUUGUGUUAAAGGUAUGAUUUGUUUUUGAAAAUUUUGAAAGGGUUAAUGGACUAUGACGACUUAUAUCUAUUGGUCUCGUUCGUCGUAAUGGUGUUUAAACCACCUUGCCGACCAUUCUGAUAUAUCACCACCCAUAAACUGAGUCCUAUUACUAAACUUUGCUAUUAAUUCUUUUAUUUUCCUGUUCAUUUUGAGAUGUAAUGGUUAUUUUUUACUUUUAUGGUGCUUUGAUGAAAAAAUCUUGUGUCGGAGACUCUGGUCUGUGAUGGCUUACACAACCCUCUAAGAAGUUCUGAGCACUAUUUUUUUUUUAUUUCCAAACACGGAGUAUUGUUUUUCUCGCAAGUAUUCAAUUUUUUAAGAUUAUUUGUUAUGUUAAUGUCUUGUGAGGAGUAACGAAGUGAUGAUAGAAUUCAUAAGUCUGUCAAUCCACUGAAAUACAUUUUAUGAUGUAAAGUGUGAAUCCCGACAGGUUCUGAUCGUUAAGUGAAUAAUCCUCCAUUUACUUUUCCUUUUUGCGCUUACUCAUUUUUGAACUUUAGUUUUAUGGGCAACUGAUGAAUCUUAUAUAUCGUAAAUGGGUAAUUUGCGUCUGAAUCUUUUCAUUGAUGCUAUCAACCUUGGAGAACUGAUGCCCUUGAAAAAUUUUAUUUUGUAUUUGAAUGAUUUUGAUGUGGGCUAGUAACUUUUGGAUGAUUGGUCUGAUAAGAGUAUAGGAGUGGGAAAUUAGGGUGAUCAGUGAUGGAGUGUAGGCCUCCCGUGAUGUGCCCUUGUUUCCUAGAGAAUGGCAAGUAACUAAUGUGGGAUCGUGUAACCGACAUUGCAAUCGAUGAUGACAACCCUUCCAAUACGAUUCAACAUCGGUUACUUUUCUACCAACUAAGUUAUGCAGCUGUCUUGGAGAUUGUAAGUUAACAGGCAGUUUUUUUCUGGGAUUUGAUACAUUUGGUCCACCCAUGUUGAACCAAAGAGGAAAUGAUGUGUAUUUAUUGUCAUCUGACUUGCAUUCCAUAUGUGGAUGUUAAAGUGGUGAAUGAUUCAUUAUAACUGAUCCUCUCAGUGUAAGUUGAAAAUAUCGUUUUGAUUAUGUUAAAUAUGUUCAGAAGAUUGCUUAUGAAAAGUAUUGUCUUUUAUUUAUUUGUGAUCAUUGGCUUGUUGUGUAGUUUCCUAAUUCACCAAAGAAGAUGCAGCUGAUAGAUGUAAAUUUAGAGUUUGAGACGUAGCAACAGAAAAAUUCUAUUGGAAGGCUUGUUAGUUGUAAAUUAUACUGAUGUAUUAAAACCUAUGUCAGAAUGUAACUGGCUCCAUAUUU
rnacentral:lncRNA from 1 species